rnacentral:rRNA from 1 species
UGAGGAAUAUUGGGCAAUGCCCGCAAGGGUGACCCAGCAACGCCGCGUGGAGGAUGAAUGUCGUAAGAUUGUAAACUCCUGUUAGAGGGGAAGAAUAGUACCGGUUGGACCGGUAUAUGACUGUACCCUCAGAGAAAGCCCCGGCUAACUACGUGCCAGCAGACGCGGUAAUACGUAGGGGGCAAGCGUUGUCCGGAUUUACUGGGUGUAAAGGGCGCGCAGGCGGGAUAAAAAGUCAGUGGUGAAAUCCUACAGCUUAACUGUAGAACUGCCUUUGAUACUUUUAUUCUUGAGUUCGGGAGAGAGAGACGGAAUUCCAGGUGUAGUGGUGAAAUACGUAGAUAUCUGGAAGAACACCGGUUGCGAAGGCGGUCUCUUGGUCCGACACUGACGCUGAGGCGCGAAAGCGUGGGGAGCAAACA